rnacentral:rRNA from 1 species
CAAGUCGAACGAGCGAGAGGAUGUUUACUUUCUCAAGCGAGUGGCGAACGGGUGAGUAACGCGUGAGGAACCUGCCUCAAAGAGGGGGACAACAGUUGGAAACGACUGCUAAUACCGCAUAAGCCCACGACCUGGCAUCGGGUAGAGGGAAAAGGAGCAAUCCGCUUUGAGAUGGCCUCGCGUCCGAUUAGCUAGUUGGUGAGGUAAUGGCCCACCAAGGCGACGAUCGGUAGCCGGACUGAGAGGUUGAACGGCCACAUUGGGACUGAGACACGGCCCAGACUCCUACGGGAGGCAGCAGUGGGGAAUAUUGCACAAUGGGGGAAACCCUGAUGCAGCGACGCCGCGUGGAGGAAGAAGGUCUUCGGAUUGUAAACUCCUGUUGUUGAGGAAGAUAAUGACGGUACUCAACAAGGAAGUGACGGCUAACUACGUGCCAGCAGCCGCGGUAAAACGUAGGUCACAAGCGUUGUCCGGAAUUACUGGGUGUAAAGGGAGCGCAGGCGGGAAGACAAGUUGGAAGUGAAAUCCAUGGGCUCAACCCAUGAACUGCUUUCAAAACUGUUUUUCUUGAGUAGUGCAGAGGUAGGCGGAAUUCCCGGUGUAGCGGUGGAAUGCGUAGAUAUCGGGAGGAACACCAGUGGCGAAGGCGGCCUACUGGGCACCAACUGACGCUGAGGCUCGAAAGUGUGGGUAGCAAACAGGAUUAGAUACCCUGGUAGUCCACACUGUAAA